UACGUAGGGUGCGAGCGUUAAUCGGAAUUACUGGGCGUAAAGCGUGCGCAGGCGGUUCGCUAAGACCGAUGUGAAAUCCCCGGGCUUAACCUGGGAAUUGCAUUUCAAACUGGCCGACUAGAGUACGGUAGAGGGAGGUAGAAUUUCCUGUGUAGCGGUGAAAUGCGUAGAUAUAGGAAGGAAUACCAGUGGCGAAGGCGGCCGAUC
rnacentral:rRNA from 1 species